GAUUAUCCCUUAAGGUGGCGGUUCGCGCCGCGACCGUUACUUGACGUUAGGCAAUGUAUACGCUACAGUUCGCGAGCGAGACAGAGACGGUCGCUGCUCCGGUACAGUAGUGUCUCCGUCGCGCUCGUGAAAGCACACGUGUUUAGUGUUUAAAAAUGAGUUUUUCUGACGAAGACUGUGAGAAUCUGAUUGAACUAAUCAGGCAGCUAUAUAAUGCACAACUAGACUCCUACAGAGAGGAAAAUUUGAAGGGCAAUAUUUGGAAAAACAUAGCUGAAAGCAUAAAUAAAACAGAUUCGGAAUGCUGUAAAAAAUGGAAACUGAUCAGGGACUCCUACAACAGAUAUAAGCGCAAACAAAAACAAUUGACGGGAUCUGCAGCACCAGCUAAAAAUUCAAAGUGACAGUUUUAUGAAUGCUUAAGAUUUUUAGAAAACACACUAUCAGAACAGCAAACUGCACCAGUGUAGAACAAGAACACCAAAGCUCCUCCAGUGUAGAAAAAGAAGUUACUAAUACCUCUAAGUAACAGUUCUGAAAAAUCAACCGCCAAUAAUACAAAGAGAAAUAGACAAAAAGAAGAUGAAUUUAUAAAAUUUAUGAAGGACAAACAGGAAAACCAAAAUAGACAGCUUGAGUCAUUAAAAUCUCAAGAAUCAGUUAAUGAUAUAUCGACAUUUACAAAACAUAUUGAAAUGAUGCUAAGAAAAUUGAGCAAACGUUCAAGAGCAAUGGCAAAAACUGAAAUAUUUAAUAUUGUAUCGAACUAUGAGAUCAGAGAUAUCGAGUGUAAAACUAAACGCCCCUAUACAAGUUCACCUUCAUAUUUUCCAACAAUAGCGGCUUCAUCAGGACCUCAAGCACAGAGUGAUUCAUCACGCCAGUUAUCAUAUAAUUCAAAUUCAUCAUACAAUUCAUAUUCUCCGAUAAGUGCAGCUUCAUCAGAACACCAAACACAGACUGGAUUACCAAAUAUUUCGAGAAUAAUUCCGAUGAAUUGGCAAACUUACCUUAAAGCUAGUGCUAAUUUUUCUUUCACUGAUAUUCUUCCCUUUUCUUGCAUUGUUUUUUUUUCAUUAAAUUUAAUAUGUAAUCAAA